GUCCCGGUAGCCUAAUGGAUAAGGUGACAGCCUCCGGAGCUGUUGAUGCGGGUUCAAUUCCUGCCCGGGACGCCA
rnacentral:tRNA from 1 species